AUGGCGAAGAAGCAGAAGCAGCGCGGCUCGCUCCGGGGGGAGGAGCAUGUAGAGGCGGCGGCCGCGGCGCCGCACGAGGACGCACCGGCCCCGAACGCGGAGGAGGAGGCGGCUGCGCAGGGAGCAGUGGGCGCCGGAAGCGAGGUGGAGGACGGGCGGAGCGCGGACGCUGCGAGUGGCGGCGUGGAGGAGGGGAAGGAGGAGGAGGCGGCGGCGGCAGAGGAGGAGGAGAGGGAGGUGACGUUUGAUGAGCUGGGGCUGGACGAGCAGCUCAAGAGGGCCCUGAGGAAGAAGGGCUUGACCAAGACCACCCCGAUCCAGCGAGAGGCCAUCCCGCUCAUCCUGGAAGGGAAGGAUGUGGUCGCUAAGGCCAAGACUGGUUCUGGAAAGACCUUUGCCUACCUUCUCCCGCUGCUGCAAGAGCUGUUGAAGUUGUGCAAAGAUGGGCGUAUUCGGAAAUCUGCACCAAAUGCCUUAAUCCUGGUGCCAACUCGCGAGUUAUGCCAGCAGGUUUAUAAUGAAGCAUCAUCUCUCCUUGAGUUGUGUACAUCCAAGUUGAAGAUUGUUCAAGUGACCGCGAGCAUGUCAGAUAAGGAUAUUAAACUUGCAUUGUCUGGGCCCCCUAAUAUUCUUGUGACAACCCCAGCUUGUGUUGCAGCAUGCAUAUCAAAGGGCAUUGUCCAGGGAUCAUCUAUUAAAGAGUCACUUUCAAUGAUGAUUCUUGAUGAGGCUGACCUUCUCCUAUCCUAUCGCUGCGAAGAUGACUUGAAGGCACUUGUCCCACAUAUCCCAAGAAGUUGCCAAUCCAUCCUGAUGUCUGCAACUUCAAGCCCUGAUAUCGACAAACUAACAAAGCUACUUCUGCACAACCCUUUUGUUUUAACUCUUACCGAGGUUGGUCAUGCAAAGGAUGACGUGGUCCCUAGAAAUGUGCAACAAUUUUGGAUUUCAUGCAGUGCUAAGGAUAAGAUGCUUUAUAUCCUUUCCCUUCUGAAGUUAGAGCUUAUUCAAAAGAAAGUUCUAAUAUUUGUGAACUCAAUUGACAAUGCAUUCAGAUUAAGAUUGUUCCUGGAAAAGUUUGCGAUAAGAUCUGCAGUGUUGAAUGCUGAGUUGCCACAAAAUUCUCGCCUACAUAUUAUUGAGGCUUUCAAUGCUAGGCUAUUCGAUUACCUGAUAGCAACAGAUGACAAUAAAACAAAGGAGGCGAAGCAAACCAAUAAGGAAAGCAAAAAAGAUUCAAAGGGGCCACGCAAGCAUUUGCAACAAACUUUAGAUGCUGAAUUCGGAGUCGUCAGAGGAAUUGACUUCAAAAACGUUUUUACAGUAGUUAAUUUUGACAUGCCUCCGAAUCCUGCUGGGUAUAUUCACAGAAUAGGACGAACAGGGAGGGCAAAUAAAACCGGUGCAUCUAUAUCACUUGUUUCACCAGAGGAGGAGGAUGUUUUCGAAGAGAUUGAACACAUGUUGCAAGAUGUUGAAAAAAAGGAUACCAACUGCAUUUUACCUUUCCCGUUACUCACAAAAAACGCUGUCGAGUCCCUACGAUAUAGGACUCAGGAUGUUGCUAGGAGUGUGACAAGCCGUGAUAUACAGGAAGCACGUCGUCAAGACGUAAAGAAUGAAAUCCUCAAUUCUGAGAAGUUGAAAGCUCAUUUUGAAGAGAAUCCAACAGACCUCGAUUUGCUCAAACAUGAUAAGUUGCUUACCAACAAAUCCAUUCCUGCUCACCUGCGUGAUGUCCCCGAAUACCUAAUUGACCCCACAACGAAAGAAGCCAGCAAUGCAGUCAAACUUUCGAGGGCUGCUAUGGGUCUUGAUAAUCCCCGAAGGAAGAAAAGAAUGGGAUUCAGGAGUGGUUCAGGCAAAAGUAGCGAUCCCCUCAGAACGUUCUCUGCCGAGGGCAAAUCACGAGGACGAAGGGGAAAGGAAAGAGAAGGAGACGAUAGAAGAAAGAGGAGGAAGGCAGAAAUCUAA
rnacentral:rRNA from 1 species